rnacentral:rRNA from 1 species
AGUGAACGCUGGCGGUAGGCCUAACACAUGCAAGUCGAACGGCAGCACAGUAAGAGCUUGCUCUUACGGGUGGCGAGUGGCGGACGGGUGAGGAAUACAUCGGAAUCUACUUUUUCGUGGGGGUUAACGUAGGGAAACUUACGCUAAUACCGCAUACGACCUACGGGUGAAAGCAGGGGAUCUUCGGGCCUUGCGCGAUUGAAUGAGCCGAUGUGGGAUUAGCUAGUUGGCGGGGUAAAGGCCCACCAAGGCGACGAUCCGUAGCUGGUCUGAGAGGAUGAUCGGCCACACUGGAACUGAGACACGGUCCAGACUCCUACGGGAGGCAGCAGUGGGGAAUAUUGGGCAAUGGGCGCAAGCCUGAUCCAGCCAUACCGCGUGGGUGAAGAAGGCCUUCGGGUUGUAAAGCCCUUUUGUUGGGAAAGAAAAGCAGCAGGUUAAUACCCCGCUGUUCUGACGGUACCCAAAGAAUAAGCACCGGCUAACUUCGUG